CUCUCUGAUAAGUGGAGGGACAGGAAGAGGACAUAAGGGCAGGAAAGAUGGUGGAAUGGGAUGGACAUCAUUACCCUGGAUUCAUGUGUGACUGCACACAUGGUGCAACGCUACAUCCUGUACAACCAGAGAAGUUUUCUACGUUUUGACGCUACUUACUUUCAGACAUGCUCACUCCAGGACUGCAAACUAGGAAGACCUUCACAGCUACUCGAUCCAACAGUAUCAGAACUGGGUAUGCUUCUUUGACACUCUGAACUCUGAAGCUUCUUAAGUAAAGAACAUAAGAUCAAGCUCACCUAAUAAUUGUUGGUAGACCCAAGAAAAUUAAUGGAAUAGUCCUAAAUUCCCUGACAUUUGUGCACUUCGGUAGCUGCCUAUUAUAUUGUGUUCUUUAUCAUUGGGAAAUGUGGAUUUCAGCUUUAUAAGUCUAAGUGACAUGAACAAAUCUUUCUACCCCCCAUCUCCCAUCCAGCACUUUUUUGUGCAUUUUGAAUUUAUGGCUGCAUUUCUAUUAGUUCCCAACAGUAUUCACUAGAUUAAAGCUGCAUCAGAAAUUGGAUUUUUUUUCUACUUUUGCCCCUGAAGAGUGUAAUAAAAAAAUAACUCAAUAAAUCUAGCAAAUUAGCAAUAAGAUUUCAAACUUUGGGGCAUAUGUGCAAAUAUGCUGUUAGGGAAGAAAUGUGAAACUAUCGACAGCUGAACCAAUCAUAUUACAUAUUACUAUUAUAAGCAGAAAGAGUAAAAGAAAAUCCUUCCCUCUAAAUUGAACCAAGUUUACCACAAGUUUAAAAAAAAGAUGUCUCAGGGGUAGAGAAUUUCAUUGUUUUAUUUCCUUUGUAGCUACCAUAAUUUUUUGUGAAAUAGAACAUUUUGAAAAGUCAUUUCUUAACUUUUUUUUUUACUCUAAAGUGGGAACUUGGACAGAUGAAAGUUAAAGCCAAUUCUUCUCAUAGACCCAUUGGCUGUACUAUUUGAACUCGAAUUGAACAAAUCACCUUAUCUUACCUUGUGGUCCCUUGAUUGUAAUAAAAGAUAUAUUAAUUCCAA